UACGUAGGGUGCGAGCGUUGUCCGGAAUUAUUGGGCGUAAAGAGCUCGUAGGCGGCUUGUCGCGUCUGCUGUGAAAACUCGGGGCUUAACCCCGGGCCUGCAGUGGGUACGGGCAGACUAGAGUGCGGUAGGGGAGACUGGAAUUCCUGGUGUAGCGGUGAAAUGCGCAGAUAUCAGGAAGAACACCCGUGGCGAAGGCGGCUCUCUGGGACGGUACUGACGCUGAGACGCGAAAGCGUGGGGAGCGAACAGG
rnacentral:rRNA from 1 species